AGCCUAGUUGGUAAAGUGCAUGUUUCUGAUGCAUUUGGCCCCGAGUUCGAUUCUUGGCA
rnacentral:tRNA from 1 species